GUAGGCGGCGCGCGGGCCGCUCUGCGCCAGGCAGGGCCUGUCGGCCGCGCGCGUCUGGGCGUGUCUGGAGGACCGGCGCCGUUUCCUGGAGGUCGCCGGCCGCGGGGAGUAGAGUGGGCUUCCUCGCUCCUGCUCUUGCGCCGUGUGCAGUGUUUCCCCCCCUUGCUGCUUUUUUCCCUGUCACCAGAGUUUUCUUGACAGUAUGCCGUGUGCUUAACGAUGUUGUAGGUGCUGCGGGGAUUCAGAAGUGAAUUUGAUGAGGACCCUCGCCCAGUGUCCUAGGAGUUUUAAGCCUACAGCAGAUGAAGAGAUAACAAUGCAAGAUGGUACUUGGUGUGCAUGAAGAUUUAUUUAACUACUGUUGGACAUGUAUGGGGAGACAUGAGCAGAGAUGAAGACUGGAAUUUCAGGCAUCUGCCUGCAGAUUAGCCCUGAGCUAACAUCCGCUGCCAAUCCUCCUCUUUUUGCUGAAGAAGACUGGCCCUGAGCUAACAUCCAUGCCCAUCUUUCUCCACUUUAUAUGUGGGACGCCUACCACAGCAUGGCUUGCCAACUGGUGCCAUGUCCACACUGGGGAUCUGAACCAGCGAACCUGGGGCACCAAAGCAGAACGUGCGCACUUAACCAC
rnacentral:lncRNA from 1 species